UACAGAGGGGGCGAGCGUUGUUCGGAAUUACUGGGCGUAAAGGGCGCGUAGGCGGCCAACUAAGUCAGACGUGAAAUCCCUCGGCUCAACCGGGGAACUGCGUCUGAUACUGGAUGGCUUGAAUUCGGGAGAGGGAUGCGGAAUUCCAGGUGUAGCGGUGAAAUGCGUAGAUAUCUGGAGGAACACCGGUGGCGAAGGCGGCAUCCUGGGACCGAGAUUGACGCUGAUGCGCGAAAGCCAGGGGAGCAA
rnacentral:rRNA from 1 species